UACGUAGGGCGCAAGCGUUAUCCGGAAUUAUUGGGCGUAAAGAGCUCGUAGGCGGUUUGUCGCGUCUGCUGUGAAAACCCGAGGCUCAACCUCGGGCCUGCAGUGGGUACGGGCAGACUAGAGUGCGGUAGGGGAGAAUGGAAUUCCUGGUGUAGCGGUGGAAUGCGCAGAUAUCGAGGAGGAACACCGAUGGCGAAGGCAGUUCUCUGGGCCGUUACUGACGCUGAGGAGCGAAAGCGUGGGGAGCGAACAGG
rnacentral:rRNA from 1 species